UGGCUCAGAGGGUAAAGCGUCUGCCUGCAAAGCAGGAGACCUGGGUUCAAUCCCUG
rnacentral:tRNA from 1 species